rnacentral:lncRNA from 1 species
UUUUAAGGUGAAAGGUUUGGUUGAAAAUCAAUUGUGUCAACAAUGGCUGAGUGAUCAUGUAAUUGGUUCUUUUAUCAAAUAUUUUUGGAGAUAUAUAUUCAGAAAUAUCUUACAUACAAAGAUGAUGUAAAUUUCAAAAUGUCGCUUAUGAAUAUAUACUGAAUUGUUAAAUAACAAUAGUAUUUUUUUAAAUGGUCUAAAGAUACAUUUCCGAAAUAAAAUUUACCUAAUAUAUAGGGCGCCUUUCAAAAUCAUCUUAUUUAAAUAUGCAAGAGAUGCGUCCAAAAAUAUAUCUCCAAAAAUAAAAGAUAUUUAUAAAAAUUCACAAAAGAUGUAAUAAAAGAUAUAAGCUAUUUUAAGAAAUUCUAAAAAAUAUAUAUAUAUAGCCCAGUAUAAUAGGAAUUUUACAUACACAAGUAACAAGUUAUAUAAGAAAAUAGCGUAUUUCCUUUCUCAAUUUUCCUUUCUCAAUUUUCACUACUCUUAAAUAGUUAUACUACAAGAUUGACUUGACUGAAACAUGAAAUUGAAAGAUCACAAGGAAGAAUUUCACAGAAGCUUUAUUUAAAACCUGUAGAGCUUCUGUCCUACAUCAAAGUGCAUUGCACAUUUAAUAUUCUUUUCUGCUAAAUUGACAUAAAGAAUGCAACAUUUUUCUAAACUUCAGGCUUCGAAAUCUGAAUAUGAAAUAAUAUAUAUAUAUAUAUAUAUAAUAUAUAUGCUCCAUGAAGAGGACGGAUAGGAGGAAAAACAGAGAUUUUGUUUUUUCAAUCUCAUUGAGUUCUAACCAAUGUUUCAAAAAUUGGAUUGAAUCGUUCGGUUUAAUCGGUUUGAUCAAAAAUCGGAGAUGAAUUUGAUUAGAUCAAUUCAAAAUCGUUAGUGGAUCAAAACCGGAAUAAAAUCAUAAAAUCCAGAUUGAACCGUUCAAAAUCAUUCAAACCAAAGAAUCGGAAUCGAUUUGUAAAACCACUCUAUUUACAAAAAUUUAUCAAAUUGACCACUAUUUUUAUUUUAUUUUUAUUUUAAUAUGUUAAUAUCAAAACUUAACAUACAUUCCUUCAAUAAAAAAAAUAUUACGUCGUUUUUUUAAAAUCAUAUAAAUUUCUAAAUUUUUUCAGUCUAUUAUAAUUUUUCUUUCAACCAAAUUUUAUUAUUGUUGUUUUCAAUUAAGAUAUGUGUAUCGUAGCUCAACUCAAAUUUAUUUUUUAUUUAUUUAAUAAAAUAUAUUGUAUUAUUUAAUUUUAAUAUUCUAUCUUAUUAAAGGAUUUUUAAUUAAUAGAACUUAUUUUUGUUAUUAUAUUCUAUUAUUGAUUUAAAUUAAUUUAAUUUAUUUUAUUAUAAUUUUUUAAUUUGAUCAAAUUAUUAAGGUUGAAAUGAAAUUUAGAACUAUAUUAUAUUAUUAUAUAUAUUAUCGAUAUUAUUGUAUUAAUUUUUAAUGGAUUUUUAAAAUAUAUAUUUUAUUAAAUUGUGAAUCUAUAAUUAUGUGUGAUAUAUCUAUGAAAUUCAAUUUCAUAUUAUUAAUUUAUUUAAUAAACGGUUUGAUAGUAGGUUUAAUUGAUUGAAUCAAUUGAAUUUUAAACCGUAAAUUUCACCAGUUCGAUCUUCAAUCCGAUUUAAAACAUUGGUUCUAAUUUGAUUAAGCUCUUUGCCCGAGCAAACAUUAAAUUUUAGGGAGACAACCUACAUAAAUAUUUAUGGCAAACUUGCGAAGGCUUGAGAUAUCACAUAAAGAGUAUUUACAUGUAGGUAACUUUAAUAUAUGUAUCCAACAUCAUUAGACAUCAAAUAUGUGAAUACGGAUCACAAUUCACGAGACACUUACAAUAAGUGAAACUGAAUCUCUAGGAUCACUUACUGACGGGAGACACUUUUUCUACUUAGAAUCUCCUGUUCUUUUAGUCGAUGUUGGAAUCUUGCAAGGCGAGCUUGGAGGCCCACAAGACUAGCUGCUUUGCGAGAAAGCACAAAACUCAAUUGGGCUACAUAGUUGUCAAUACGGCUUCCUGGUUGGUCCACUUCUGCCAAGAGUUUCAUUUCCUGAAAACGAAAAAAGCAAUACAUGAUGAGUGAGCACAAAACAAUAGCAAAUAUAAUUUUUCAUCAGUACAAAGGUUUAAUUACUUAAUUAGAAACUUGAAACGCAGAUUAAAAGAAGCUGUGGCACAAAAACUCAAGUCGUAGUCGUGUAGUAACAUGACAAGCAAUUAUGAAUCUAAUAUUAAUGUGUAGCCUAAAGAAAAAGCAAGUAACAACUUACUUCACGUACAAUCUCCAUUGUGUCCUCAAUUUCUUUCCUAUGAGAAGCAAUUAGUGCUUCUUCCUCCUGCAAAGGUAGAGAUAACUUGAACUCGUUUUUUAUUCAACGGAAAACUGGUAAAGAAAAGGUCACUAAUAAUCCAUGUUUUACAAACCUCAAGUACUGCAUUGAUAUUUGCAUCAGAAGCGGAUUCUGCUUCAUAAAGCCUAGAUCUAGUGGUAACAGUAUUGUGAUUCCCUGUGAUCUGCUGCUUGGAGCAUGUAGUAGAGGGAUCGGAUCCAUUGAUAUCCCUUUUCAUCAAGUUUGUAGGCCUUUCGGACCUUUCAUCUUUAGAACCUUUUCUACGUGGGGAAGACACCUUUUGCACGUUCUCAUCUGAAUCAUUUUGUGAGUAAGAGUGCGUCUUUUGACUGGAAGAAUCAUUAUAAGAGUUCUUUUUUUCAAACCUCUCCUCCAUUGAAGCAGAAGCACCUUUUUCUUCUUGCCCAUUUGAUAGGUAAUUUGAAGAAAUACUAGAAGUAAUGCCUUUUUCUUCUCGUCCAUUUGAUAGGUGAUUUGAAGAAAUACUAGGUAUCUGUUUGUCAGCAAUAGCAGCAGAGCUAUACAUAGUAUUCUCCAUUUCAAAUGGUUUCCUGCCCAAAUCCAAUGGUUUCUCUAGGCGUUGGUUACUAAAAUCCUCUGCACGAUCACUAACUGGAAGGGUUGAUGUAGAUGAAACGUCCUUAUUAGGUUGUGGUUGUGGUACACAAUUGGGGAUCGGGUCUUUUCUAGGAUUUCCACUUUUGGAAAGACUUUUAACCCUGUUCACAUUACGAUGAAACACUUAGUACAUGCAAACAUGAACACCAUUGAAAGAACAGAUGCACGCUGUUAUGAAGGUAACAUUUGAGCAUAUAAUACCCAAACUACGUACCGAUCAGCAUAUCUCAGGGUGUUAAGCGUGUGUUCACAAGACCCAGCACCUGGAGAUAUACAAGAGAUCAUAACAGUUUUUGAGUUGCCUACAAAAGAGUCCCGAAGCACUUCUGUAAGUUUGCUUCCCCGGAAUGGAAUAUGGAUCUGGUCAUUGUCUAGAGCACGGAUGCAUUCCUUUAAAGCUAAAAGGCUCUUGUUGAUUUCGGCUCCUUCUAUCCUAUGGUAGAGAUACAACAAUUGCACGGUGAGUUUCUUUUGUUAACACUUUUGUUUUUUUUAACACAGAAAGUGUUUGAUUACAAUUAAAAUUUACAUGAGGGAGGGAUUGUAGUAUUGUUUUCAGCAGUUAACUUAACUUAAAGCAUAGUGAAAUUUCGACAACAAAUAGCCAAGAUUUUUUAGGCAAAAGUUAUAUUUAUAAAGUAAUAUCACAUUAUAACAAUAUGUGCAAAUAGAUAACAUUCAGCUAUUAAAUAUUGUUGAGUUUAAAAAACACUAAAGCAAUAAUUCAAAAUUCUAAGACAGAUAACAAAAAUAUACAUUCAUAAAACUGGUAGCUACUAUGAAAAGCUUUUAAGUUUGCUUUUCGUCAAGAAAUAUUAACUAGCAAACAAAAUCAGUACAAGUAAAUUAGAUGGUUUCAUGAUAACCUCGUUACACAAAAGAGAAAGAGAUUGGACGAUUAACUAAAGGCCUCUGCAAGUCUAUGAAAGAAGACACAAGGAUUUAGCACAGCAGAGAGUUAGUGGGAGGGGGGACCCAAGUGUGCAUUUGGUGGAAAGUGAAGGAAAAAAAGAAAUGCCACAUGGCAGAGAGUGAGUAGGUGAGAACAUUCUAAAAUAAGGAAUUGUGAGGGAGAUGGAGGAAUAUAAGAGGAGGAUGGAUAACAGAAAGGAUAUCAAGAAAAUAGUGAAUGGAAUAUUGGGCUAUGCUGAGUGGAGGAAGAAGGCUGUUCUCCUUGCUCUGGAAAGGGUUUUCUAUGAUUAUCAUCUAUUUAGUAUUCCAAUCCUGCAAAGGAGUAUAUUUAUCCAUCCACAUUCCAUUUCUUUUGUUUGCUCAUAUAUACUCAAUGUAACAGGGAUUUAUUCCCUCUGUUUUAGCUUUUUCAGUGUUAAUAUCAUUCCUAAUUUUGUUCUCACCUGGUUGGGUCCUAGCAUUUCCUUACCUUCUCAAUUACUCCCUCCGUUCCUUUCUAAGUGUCACUUUCUUAAUAAAUUUUUGUUUCUUUUUUAUUGUCACUUACAGAAUUCAAGGUAGUAUUAAAUACAUUUUUGUCAAAAUUACCCCUAUGCAAUUAUUACAGAGAGAGAAAAAGUAAAAUGAAUGUAGGAUAUAAUUAAGGGUAUUAUAGGUAAAAUAAGAAUUAUUAUUUAAAAAGUAACAAUAAUGAUUAGUUUUCUUGGUACAUCUAACAAGUCAAAAAAUGACACUUAAAAAGGAAGGAGGGAAUAAUAAUCUAAUAUGCUUUAUAUUUAUUACCGCAGCUCUUAUUUUUAAGAUAGUCCAAGCAAUGUUAUGUAAAAAAAAAAAGAUUAAACAAAAAGGAAAAGAGAGUUCUUUUCAGUUCUUUAGAGCUUUCCCAUUUUCAAUAAUGAUCCAACUUCAUACUAUGUGGCGUAGAAGGCUAAAAAAAGUCAGUUUGUGCACCAAAAUAUAAAUUGUGUUGUAAAUUUAAGAUUAAGUGUUCAAAAAUGUUCAUGGAUGAAACAUUCUAGAAAGAACCGUCAUGCAGUUCACUUUAAGGAGCUCAAAAUAUUACGCAAAUGAUUUGAAUGUAGAAAUACCGUGUUUGACGGUCAUUAUCAGUAGUGUCAGCACCUCUUUCACUUCCAGCAAGAUCAAUAAAAGAUAUCUUCCCCACAACCUUCCCACUUUUUGCCUCAUUUCCAUCAGUGUUUCGCUUGCCCUCUUUCACCUCAUUGUGCUUCUUUACAACCAAUUGUAAGAUAGCAUGCGACCUGGAGGACUCCUCAUUAGCACCCGUGGAUCCUGUACUUCUUGAAGCAUUUCCCUUUUCAAUGAACUCUUUCACAAUUUGAACGUCAAAAACUUCAAAUUCUUGCAAUCCUACAAUACAAACUUGUUGCCGUCCAUCUUCCCUCAUGCAAAGUUUUCUAUUCGUAACAUAUUAAACCACCAUUCACCAGUAAGUUAACACAGCAUGCACCAAAGAACAAAUAAAACAUGCAGGUUGAAGCAUUGAGCAAGCAAGAUGACAUUUGUAAAUGUAUAUUAGUUGAGAUAUAGAUAUUCAUUCCAGUACAGUCAAAAAUAGAAAAAUUAAUGCUUGAUGUAGGAUAAAAAUUAAGUAGCAAAGUGAUGCUUGAUAUUAUAACAAAUGUUUAUUUUAGCAGCUGAAUCCUUAAUGAAGAAAUAAAAAAUGUUGUCGCAUAAUUAAGACAAAGCACUUGGACUUAAGGCAACCAUAAUGGCUCAAGGACAAACUGCACUGCAACAUCAUCAUCUAAUACAUUAAAAUAGUAUGCCCAGUGUGUUCAUAUAAAAGUGUGUGUCUAUUAUGAAAGAAACACCCACCUUCUGUCACUAAGAAGAUCAAAUAGCUUUCCACCAUAUAUCUCAAAGUAGCUAAGCCACAAUUUAUAUUUCUGACUCCGGUAAACUGGCUGAUGCAACUGACGAACAAGGUCUUCUGCAGCUCUGAGCGGUAAUGGUUGCAUUGUGUAUGUUUUGCCACUUCCUGAAAAUAAAGAUUAAGUGGCUUUCUGAGGAUCAAGCACAUCAAUGGAACGUAGAUGAAUAAACUUAUAUGGUGCCAACAUUUACAGACUUUUUUAAUACAUAAAAAAAUAGCAAACUUUAGUGUAGUUAAUAUUUUGUUGAGGAUGGGGACUUAACCAUCUCCCUCCUUGUCACUCCUAUUCUUAACUCUCCCACCCCAAUUACCAAGCCAACUUUAUAACGCCCCAACAAUUACACAUUCAGUUUCAUGAAAGAUGCAAGAUUUUCAGGAUACACUUUAAACCUUCACUUUCGUGCAUAUAUACCAUCAAGUGAAAAACAUGAUGUCUACCUAGACCAAGGCAGCCAAUAUCCUCCCACUCACUCAGCACAAAUAUUUUACAUAGUAUGGAUAUUUUUAAAUGGUAAAUAUCUUGACUUAUAUCACACAUACCAGCCAGAACCAACUCAACAAGAUGAUCCGCACAGAAAAAACAAAAAAUUGAAAGACAAAAGCAUCACUAUCUUUCAUUGCUUGAUAAAUAGAUAAGCACACUAUCAAGAACCAGUACCAAAUGUUACGAUGUAUAAAUAAACUAGCAAAGUUCAAACACCAAAAAAAACAGCAUAAAUAUAUCAUACUAAAUAUUUUAAUAUGUAAAACUGGAUAACAAUGAUAAUUUGGUACACGUAUGAUGAUAACAGCAAAUAAAAUUUCUCACCUGUCUGACCAUAAGCAAAACAGGUAGCUUUGGUUCGUUCAAAAAUUGUAGGAAUAAUUGGUUCAACUGUAGCUCGGUAUACCUGUUAUCAUAAACCAAUCAUGCAUUAGAUCAAUCCAACAAAUCAAAAUCAAGAUAACUUCCAUAAAUCUUAGGUAUCACAAAAGAGGAGCAGGUAGAUAGUAUGAAGACAAUUGAAACAAGUUACUAACAUAUUAGUAAAAAUAAUAGUGAAGUCAGAUCUUUGGAUAAGAGAUGCCUUACUUCAUCGUUAGUAACAUGCUCAUCAAGAACGGCAUCAAAACAAAACUCAUGCUUGUCUACAUAAGCUGUUAGAUCAACCUGUCAAGAUCAAACCACAUUUUUUUACUGUGAGUUGAAUUAACCAUCUGUUCAACAGGAUGUGGAUAUAUAUAUAUAGAUAUAUUAUAUAUAUAUAUAUAUAUAUAUAUAUAUAUAUAUAUAUAUAUAUAUAUAUAUAUUAUAUAUAUAUUAUAUAUAUAUUAUAUUAUAUAUAUAUAUACUAUAUAUCAAAGCAAACCUUUAGUUUUGGUUCAUAGACUGUCAAAUACGCAUUGUCAGCUACCGUUACAGCAUCAUCCUCCUUCUUAGCAAGCUCUUUCUUGUUUAAAGGUCUUUUACGUACCUACAAAUGCAUUGGAAUUAUUUUUUUAAUAUAAUGACAAAUAUCCCCUGAAUGCUAGUGAAUUAAAAUGGCAUAUUAACCAUCAACAAUCUCAAGUAUAGUAGGUAAGAGUAAAUUUAAAAGUAUGAAUUCAAAGAAAAAGAUCGGAGAGAAAAAUGCUUAAAAUUAUAAUGAAUGUGUAAAUUGUAGUUAGUUCAUGUAGAGUCGUAAAGUACAUUUUCAAAGAGAAAAAAGUUUCAGAUUAUGAAUAUACAAUGUAUAAAUAUUUUGAAAGAAUUUAAAAAUAAAACUGAGAAUAACGUGUCAUCCUUUAUUGGGGGGUAUACUACAUGAUUAAGCCACUCUCAAUCGAGUAGAUUCUAAUUUAUAUAGAGGCGGACUUUAAAGUAAUUAAUUUGAGUGUGUUAGUGGCUGUGAUUUUGAAAGAAAGAGGAAAUUAUAAAAUAAUAAAAAUGAAAAUUUGAAAGAGAUUAAUUUGAGAAAUUUCAGAAAAACAUAAAGGUACUUGUCAAUGGAAAGCAACAUCAACAUGUCUUAGGGAGGAAAUUGAUACAAAUGGAAGACUACUUCACUCUUAAAGUGAAGGCUCUAUAUUACUAUAUAAGGUCGCAUUCACAAAUGAAAAAGUUCAAACUUCAAAAGUCAAGUAUGCUAUGAACUAAAUAUAGUAAAUCUUAAAAAAAAAUAUGAUUUUCCUUCUGUUUUACACCAACUGAUGAUGAUUUUGGUGAAACCCUUCUGCUAGUUAGGGAAACAAUGAUGAUAAAGGUGGCAAUAGCAGUCGUGAUUCUUUUACUUUUUGCUCUAGAGCCAACUAAAGGAAGAAAAAAAAAGAAAUCACAUAUCGCCUGAAGCUGGGAUGCAUACAGGUCUAUAAAAUUGACAUACCACGACUUUAAUUUUGGCGACGUUAUUCUCCCUUGUGCUAUUCUCUUUUUCAUUCAUAGGUAAGUAAAUUGAUGCGUCAACAUCUGCUUCUUUUUCAAGCUUGCUGUUAGUUGGAUAGAAAUCAUCUUCAAAUGCUCUAGUAUCUCCGGGUAUGAUGGGUGAUGGUUCGAAAGGUUCUGAAAUCAUAUGCUGAAAAAAAGAGGGCUUCAAAUGCUCAUGUAUGACAACACAUACUGACUAUUAUUGCAAGAAAUUUAAGCUGAAAGCAGAACAAUAAGGGAUCAUAAACAUUCCAUUUGAGAAGAAAAGAAAUUGAUUGAAACAGAAGUGCUGAAAGUUCAGAUAUUUCAGAUCCAAGAUUGUUGUUGUAUAAAAUGGUAUAGUUGGUUAUAAAACUGCUCACAGUCAUACUACUUCUUAAUCUUAUCUGAUAGGUAUAUAAAAACAACACUACAAGCUGAACAUAUUUUCUUUCUAAUAUGCAGGAAAUUAACCAAACUAACCCUACAUUAUAAUAAAACUGAAUCAUAUUCAUACCUCAGACAAAAGCCCUAUGUCAUCCAUGGCAUGAAGAUCCAAAAGCCCAGCUCCAAAAUCCCCUCUGAACUCAGGUGAAUAAAACCCAUCUGAUGCUGCCACUCCACCCAAAGUUUGAAUGUUGGCCGUAGACAGCUCCGAACCAGAUUCCCCAUUAAAAUUGAGGUUUCUCAUUAACUUCAAAAGCCUCUGCUUCUCUUCAGCAGACUGUGCUCCAUAGCCCUAUCCCAAACAUCAUAUAAAAUAUUCAUCUAAAGUUAUAAACAAUAAAAUCAACUCAUAUACUAUCAAAAAGAAAAUAUACUCAACUAUUGACAAAUUUGACCCCACUACACUCAAAUGUAAGCCUCUAACACAAAACACAGUGGCAUACAUAAUUAUCCCUCAAAUUAUAUGAUAACUCAAACUCCAAUUUCACAAAACAUAUACACAUAUAAUCUCAUAACCAAGUGCAACAAAUUUUAAAUAACUCAAAAGCUAAAUAAUAAUAAAUACAAAGUCAGAGCAGAAAAGACAAUGCCUAAGAUGUUUCUAUCUUUGGAAGAGAAGCGAGGAUACCUGCAUUAGAAGGUUAGGGAGGAGGCGAUGAUCGAUGCCGGAUGAGGCAAAUGGAGAGCCAAGAUGCUGCAAGCCGGCUGACUGAAGCCACCGCGCCAUAACGGCGUCUCCGGCAUCAGUGGAUGAACUUUGCACGGAGCCGCCGGCAGCUUGAUCAUAAAGAGCCGCGGCUGCUGCGGCAUUACCCUGUGGCGGCAUCUGGCCAGCCACGUGGCGCUGGGAACGUCGUUGAGGCGCCAAUUUUCAAGAUCUGUUACACACGCGUUUCUUAAUACAGAAUCAUCACAAUCAGAAAAAAAAUUAAUCCACAAAAAUAAAAUCUAGGAAAAUUGAAUGAAGAAAAAAAACAACGAAACUCACGAGAAGAACAUGAAAGUGAAAAGAAACCGAUUCGGGAGAAAGUGACGAGAAAAUUUCAGGAACUCGAGAUUUUCGAUUCAGAUCUGAAAACGAUAGCGAUGGUGCUGAAACUGAGUUUUCCGAUGCGUAACCACAAUAUGGCCUUUGAUUCUGUUAUUUUCCGGUAAACAGAGGAAGAAAAUGAAAUGCAGAGUUUUGAGAUUAAUUAAAGAUUAGUUGAGAUAUAAUCGUUGCGAUGAUUAAUCAUAAUCCUCACAUUUUCAAAACUUAUGUAAAACGGCUAUGUCUUCAUUGAAGUUGAACGAACCAACUAACUAGUUCCGAAAAGACAAAUAUGCCCUUACUAUCCCUCGUAACGUAAAUCAACCAUGACGUAUUGGAAUUAUGAAUCAAACAAACGCCAACGGAACUCAGUACUCUACCAAACUUUUUUCACAUUUAUUUUUAAUAAAUUGGUUUCAAUUCUUCACUGUUUAAAAAACUGAUAAAACUAUUUUCUUUUUCAUGUGGUUUUUUCGCCAAACAUAUUUGUUGUAAUUCGACACUUAUUUUGUCACAAAACUAAUAAAAAUUUGAAAAUUGUUAUUGAGGAUGUUGAGGCUAUUUAAGAAUAUUGGUUGUUAUUAAUUAAAAACUAGCGAAAUAUUUGUAUUGUAAUAUAUUAUUAUUCUAAAUAUUAAUAAAAUAUUAAAUGAAGGAGAUAUUUAAUUUAUUUAAAAAAUAUAAUAAUAACAUAUUUGUUUUACAUAUAAUCGUUAAACACGUUCAACGUACUUGAACAAAAUAAUUAUAUUUCUUAAAACUUGUUGACAAAUGCUAUCAUGUGCCCCAAGGGCACAAGUUAAUGAUACAUUUAUAGAAAUAUUCUUUUGGAAUGCGUGCAUUUAAUUUUUGAAACUUAAAAUUUUGUUUUAUUCCACACAAAAUUUUCAAUAAUAAUAACCUUAACUUGUGUCCCAAGGGCAUAAGUUAGCAAGACUCAAACUUGUUUUAACUACUUGCAUUAAAUUCUCAAAGUUAGUUUAUACAAAUUGGAAUCAUAAUUAAUUUUUUGAUUCAAGUAAUUGUUUCAAAUUUUAUGCAUUAAUGACAAAUAUGUGUCAAUUUUAUUUUUAUAUUUAUUAAGAUAAAUUUUGUCAUCACUUUUAAAGUAUUAAGGACAAAUAAUUGUAUUGUAUUUUUGUCUUAUAUCUUUUUAUUAAUCGAUGAUAAAUAUAUUUAUCAUAAAAAGAGAAAAUAAUAAAUAUUUAAGGAUAUAAUAAAAAAAAAAUUAAUGAUUUGUCGGUAUUAUAAAACGACUUAUAUUGUGAUAUAAAUUUUUUUUUUAAAGUGAUAUAUAAUAAAAAAAUAGAGGUAGUACUAUCUAUUACUAAUAAAUAUGUAUCGUGUAAAGACAAAUUUUCUCAUAUUUUAAAUAUAUUGAUUAUAAAUAUGUGUCUAGUAUUUAUAAUUAUUAGUAAUAAAUAUACAUCUUACAUUUUUUAUAUAUUAGUUAGUGUCAAAUAUUUUUAAAAUAUAUCAAUACUCUUUUUUAGCUUUUAAAAUACACUAAUGUCUCCCGUAUACUUCUAAAAUAUAUAGAUAACUUGUUUAUUAUAAUUAUUUCAUUUUAUUUGUUUAGAAGAUAUUCAAAAAAAAAUCAAUUCACUGAUAGCAAAGAAUUUGUCAAGUGUAUGAAUUUUGUAUUUCAAAACUUUUUUUAUUUUUAGAAAAAUAAUUUAAAAACAUUUAAUUUUUUAUAGUUAGAAAUUGUUAAAAAUUCUUAUUUUUAUUUGAUGAUAUUAAAACAAACAUUAAUUCUGACUAAUUAUUUAUUGACAAGUAUUUAUUUUGUACAUAGUUUUUAUCAUAAAUUAUAAUUAUUUUAUUAAUAAUAUUCUCAUACGAUCAAACGGUGGACAGUUAAUAAUAAAGGAUGCUUACACUCAUAUCAGCAGACCCUCUCAAGGUAUUGGUUGGAAAAAUUUAGUUUGGUGUCCCUCCAUUCCCCUAUUUUUUCGCUGCUUUUUUGGAGACUUCUAUACGGAAACUGCCUAUUGAUGAGAAACUCUACUUAAAGGGUCAGAUUCUUCCCUCUGUUUAUUCUUUGUGUUUCAAGGAGCAAUAAUAUUUACAUCAUCUUUUCUUCAGUUACAACUACGCCAUAAACGUUUGAAUUUGGUUGUGAAACAAGUUGAACAGAGGUCAUAUCAUUAAUUGCCUUGAAGAUUGUCUAACGAUUAUGCGCAAUAGUAUCUCGAAGCAAUGCCUUGUGGUUACUAAAGUUGUUGUUUUAAAUUCUAUUUGUUGUAUUUGGCUGGCUCUCAAUCAGGCAUGUUUCCAAGACAAGCUAAUUUUGGAGAACUCAAUGUGUUGAUAUUCUAUCAUGAUUUUUUCUAGCUAGUUAACAUACUACUUGUUGUACAAACUCUUCUACCAAUGACUUUAUAGUGCAAAAAAAUUUAGAGUUCAAAUUCAUCCGCCUAAAGCUCUGGUUGUCAGAGAAGUCUUGUGGUGCCCUCCUCAACAGGGAUGGAUCAAAAUCAACAUACAUGGCGCUUCGGGAGGAACUCCUCUUCAAGUUGCUUGUGGUGGUAUCUUUAUAAAUGAUAAUGGUAAUCAUCUUGGCAGCUUUGCUUGCAAUCUAGGCCCGAAAAGUGCGUUGUUUGUCGAGCUUAUGGGUGUCAUUUUAGCGAUUGAAUAUGCAAUCAGUAAAAAAAUGGGAUAAUUUGUGAUUGGAGAUUGAUUUUGUUUUAGUAGUUAAAGCUUACAAUAAACCUUCAAUUGAGUCUUGGAAAUUAAGGAAUAGAGUGGACAAUUAGAUGAGUAAUUUUAAUUUUUUGCCAACUCAUAUCAGUAGGGAAGGGAAUCACUAUACAUAUAAGUUAUCAAACUUAGGCUUAGGUGUCACUAAUUUUACUUGGUGGAAUGAUAUUCAUUCAGUUAUAAAUUCGGACUUCAAUAGAAACAAAGUAGGUUUAACUAGUUUUAGAAUUAGAUAUGUUUGAGAUUUUUCCUCUUUGUCCCCCUCAUUUUUUUACCUAUUCCUUUUUCAUUUAUUCAAUGGGUAUGUCCUCUUUUGAUUAUAUUAAAAAAUUCUUAAUUUUACUCAAUGUCAUUAUACCAUUAAAACCAAGGUUGCGUACUCCUUGUCAAAACUAAGAUAUUUUUCCCUACUUAGUAAGAAGCUUUAAUGGACAUUUGGUAGUAGGUAUGGUAAUAGGGUGGGACGGAUCGGUAUUUACCUCCUCAAACUCAAAUAUAAAUUUUCAAAUAAUUUCUGUUCACCAUCCCGAUCUCCAACGAGAAUGGAGAAUUAAAACUCAAACCCAUCUCAAAUGAGUUCAGGUUAGAUUCGGGUAUCCUCGUUCCGCCAUCAUUCAUUUAAUGAAAUCAAUUUUCUAAAAUAAGAUUUUAAGGAUCCUAAAAUUUUACUAUAAAAUCCUAGUGAAUAUCUCACCUCAUAUACGGGUAUAAACUAUUUUAAUCUAAAAAAUCACUCAUUUUUUAUUGUCAUUGAAUUGGGAUGGGAUGCCUGAGUGUUUAGUGUUUGCAAGUAUAUGUGAACCAAAGCUGAAAGAUGUCAUAUCCCUUAGCAGAGUUCACUAUUAGAUCUUAAUUUACUCCAUUUUUUAUGAACUAAAAAGAAGUAUUCAUGAUCUUUUGGCUUAGUCCGUCGGAAGGGAUUGACGUCAUCUCAAAACUUGUCAAUUCUAAGAAAAUGGAUUACAAUAAGACCCUAAUUCAUAAAACAUUGAUCGUCUCAAACAUCACUCGUUGUGUGAAUUCUCUGGAGAAGGCAAGUGAAAAAACACGGCCUGACAAUUUGAGGAUCAUCAUUAUAAGAUAUAUCUCGACAUAGGAAUUACUUUAAGACAUACAGCAAAGGUCUGAAGACCGAUGUGCUCUUAUUUCUUAGUAGAAGACCAAUAUAUUAGCCCAUCUAACUAUUUGGCCGCUUAUUUUCUAGGUUGCCUAUUUGUUGGAGUUCUUAUCUCUUAGACUGCAUAUCUCUGGACCACCUACGUGUUUGAUCGCAGGGAAUUUCUUAAUGCACCAUAUAUGUUACUUACACACCGUGGAAAAAUAUUAAAAUAUCCUAUAGAUUUCGGAGAUGCAUCUAUAGACACAUCUAAUACAAAUACUUUAUUUAUUUUUUAGUCACACCCCAAUUUUAUGAAUAAACUUAUUCCAAAAAUGCAUUUUCGAAACCUGCUGAACCAAAAAAAUAGCAUAAAAAAUAAAAAAGGUUCAAUAAAAUUUGAAUUUCACAAGGAAAAUGGAUGUUUGUCAUCAUACAUAUAUUUCAAAUAUUUCUCCAUGUUACUGUUACACACUGACAUUAAAUUGGGCAAAGACAUAAUAACAGAAUCUAGACUCCUUAUUGCUCAUUAAUUUUGAUCUAGUUAAAAACUCAAAUAUGAUAUGAAGCAUGAUGUAAAUUGUAACACCUCAACAUUCAACUAAAAUGAAUUUUAUUUUGUAUUGUCAUUGAAUUGGGACGGGAUGCCUGAGUGUUUAGUGUUUGCAAGUAUCUCUAAAUCAAAGCUAAAAGAUGUCAUAUCCCUGAGCGGUGUUCACUAUUAGAUCUUAAUUUACUCCAUUUUUUGUGAACUAGAAAGAAGUAUUCGGGAUCUUUUGGCGUCAUCCGCAGGAAGGGAUUGACGUAUCUCAAAACUUGUCAGUUCUAAGAAAAUGGAUUGGAAUAAGACCCUAAUUCAUAAAACAUUGAUCGUCUCAAACAUCACUCGCUGUUUGAAUUCCCUGGAGAAGGCAAGUGAAGAAACAUUGUCUAACAAUUUGAUGAUCAUCAUUAUAAGAUAUAUCUCGACAUAGAAACUACUUGAAGACAUAAAGCAAAGGUUUGAAGACAGGUGUGCUCUUACUCCUGAGUAGAAUGUUGCAUAUAUAUAGGUUGCUUAUAUGUUGGACUUCUUAUCUCUUGGAAUACAUAUCUCUAGACCACUCACAUGUUUGACCGCCGGGAAUUUCUUAAUGCACUCUAUAUGUUACUUACACACCAUGUGAAAAUACUAAAUAUCCUCCAAAUUUCGAAGAUACAUCUUCAGAUACAUCUAAUACACACACUUCAUUCAUUUUUGAGUCACACCCCAAUUUUAUGAAUAAAUUUAUUUCGAAAAUACAUUUUCGGAACUUGCUGAACCAAAAAAAAUAGCAGAAAAAAUGAAAAAGAUUCAAUAAAAUUUGAGUUUCACAAGGAAAAUGGAUGUCUAUCAUCAUACAUAUAUUUCUUCAUGUUACUCUUACACACUGACAUUAAAUUGGGCAUAAGACGUCAUAACAGAAUCUAGACUCCUUAUUGCUCAUUAAUUUUGACCCAAUUAAAAACUCAAAUAUGGUAUGAAGCAUGAUGUAAAUUGUAACACAUCAGCAUUCAACUAAAAUGAAUUUUAUUAUUCAUUAAACUGAAAUUAUAUUUACCACUCAAAGAGAGACUCAAUAGAACAUUGUAUAAACACAUAUUGUCGAUUUUUGCAGCGAAACCAAUGAGGUUUAGACAUAAGUUUUUGCAUGAUGUCAAAUAAAAGAUAUACAAGUGUUGAAUGUUAGUUAACCCAUAUAUCUAUUUUUAUCUAGGAUGUCAAAAAAUCUAAUCAUAGAGGUUUUAGUUUUGUGAAUUUUGCGUCGAAAUUGAGUAAGCUUAGACAUAAGUUUAUGUUUUUUUUUUGUUCAACAGGUUUAGGAAAUGCAUUUUCGAAAAAAAUUCAAAAAUUCAUUUUCAGAAUAAAUUUAAUUAUAAAAUUGGUACAUGACUCAAAACGAAUGAAAUAUGUAUGUUUGAGGUGCGUCUUGAGAUGCAUUUCUGAAAUCUGAAAGAAUAAAAUUUUAAACAUAUAAAAAUGAAAUAUGAGAAUAAAGUUUUAAACAUAUAAAAAUGAAAUAUGUGUGUUUAAUGUGUUUGUGACAUAUAUAUAAUGCAUUAAAAAAAAUGUACCGCCUAUCAUACUAAGACUUAAAUGAACUGUUUUCCUGCAUGUAGGGCUUGGCCAAGACAAAUUUGUAGGAUUAAUAAGAAAUAUAUUUAUAAAGAGUUAUAAAGAUUAUUUUUAUAGAGAUUCUUAUACAUGUAAUAAAAAACAAAUUCUCCAAAAAAGAUCUUAUAAUUAGGAAAUUGUUAUACACUACAUGUAAUUAAACUGGGUAGAGAUCCUUUCAAUUUCUUUAAAGAAAUGGAAUUAUCCACUACUAUACUUUUAGAAUACAAAUAGCUAAUAGUUGUCACCAAAUUUUAAAAUGUCUACAUUUAUUUAUAUCUUGUAUUCACCUAAUUUAAUAUAUAUUUUAAUCAUUUUAUUUAAUUUAAUAUUAUUUUUUAGUCCUUUAAAUAAAAAAUAUUAUAAGUUAGUCCUUUAAUUUCCAUUCUAUUAUUUUAUUUGGUAUUUUUGAUAAUUUUUAGAUAAAAAAUAUUAAGUUCUUGUGACGUGACGUGAUAACAAUGUUAUAGAUACAAAUUUUAGCAUCACCAGAAUUUAAGGUUUUUUUGUCAAAAAUUGAUGGAAGAGACUAAAUAGGAUAACCGAAGUGAAAUUAAGGAACUAACUUAUAACAUUUUUUAUUUAAGGGAUUAAAGUAAAAUAUUAAAUUAAGUUAAGAGACUUGAUGAUUAAUUAUGUCUUUAAAAAUUAUUAAUUUAUUUUCUUAAUUUUUUCUGUUUAAUAAAUAAAUGAUUUUAAUUAUUUUAAUUAAUUUUUAUACAAAUAUUUAUUUAAAAAUUAAAUAUUACAAACUCUAAAAUAUAUAUUUAGGCCUAACGUACAGUAACCCAAUACCAAUAUUAUAACAAAUAUAAUGUGAAAGUCUUAUAUAAUCACUAUUCUUUGGUAUUGAAAUUUCGAUGUGGACUUAAAUUGUACAUGUCACUGUUGAUAUUGAUUGAAAAUAUAUACGUUGAUACUAUUUAUAGAUAAUUGAAUAUGAUUAUCGAUGAAAAUAAUAUAAAAAUUUUUGGAGUGUAGCUUCAAAUGAGUAUCUGAGUAUAGUCUUUAUAUUGGAGUACGAUUGUCAAUGAAGACAAGACAAACUUAUAUAUUAUUUUUAAUAAAUAUGAAGAUUAUUAGAAUUAGUUGAAAAUAUGGAUGAUGAAUAAAUCCUAUUUCAUUCAAUUUUUUUAAAUGAAUAGAGGUAAUAUAAUAUAUAUAUUAUAUAUAUAUAUAUAUAUAUAUAUAUAUAUAUAUAUUAUAUAUCAUAUUUUAUUAAUAUUAUAAAUUCUUUUAAGUUCCAUAUUAUUUAAUUUUGUGAAGGAAGAGAGAGUCAAAGAUAUAUAUGAUUCAAGUUUUUUAUUCCAAUAUGCAUCGAUCAAAAGCAUUUUAAACUUGUAUUUGAUUUUCUUUGUUCUCUUUUUGGAGGGAGAAUGUGGAUGCAAAUGUAAGUGAUUAAAGUCUCACAUUGUCUAUGAAUUGGUGGAGUGUUGGAUUUAUAAGAGAGAUAACUUAUUUACCUAACACCUUAAGAUUUUGGGUUGAAAUGUAAUGUUUUUCUAUUGUGAUCGUGGAGCAUUAGUCUCAUUGAUGCUCUUGAACUCCCCAAUAGUGAUACAGAGUCUGGUUCGGCUUGUGGGGGGAGCGGAAACUGAAUCCAGAUAGAUGAUAUGAGAGACUUACAUUUGUGGGGGAGAACGUGGUGUGAAAGUAUGAGUGAUUAAAGUUUUACAUUAUUUAUGAAUGAGUGAAAUAUUAAAUUUAUAAGAGAGACUUCAUUUAUUUAACACUUUUGUUGAGAUCUCAUUGAUGUUUUUGAGUCUCCUAAACUCCCAAACAACCGCAACUACAAAUCAAACAGCUUUUGCAAAAGUGUAUUAUGGUGAAGUACCUAAUCCAUACAAUAAGUUUCAUGAGCAUAUGUAUAUGACUAAAACAACAUAAAAGUAACUCCUUAUGCAGAGGUGUAUUACGGUGACAAAGUUUGAUAUUGUAUAUAUGAUAACAGUUGUAGAAAAAUCAUGUCACUUAAUCACUAUCUUUUUGCAUUUAAAAGCAUCUUUGCUUAAAAUAUUUGGAACGAUCUACGUCUCUAGGUGAUAUUGAUGACGUGUAUUUAGACACAGAGGAAAAGUAUAAGAAAUUAAUUAAGCAGGUUAUUGAAUUAUAGGAAAAAUAUAUUGAUGUCGAUGCUUAUAAGAAAUUUGAUACUAAAGGAUCAUAAAAUUAAUUUUUUAAAUAAAAAUUAAAAAGUUAUUAAAAUGAAUUUAGAGAGACCAAAACUGCAUUUAAGUUAAUAUUUAAUUUAACAAAAUAUUAUUUAAUACUUCCACGUUUCAAAAUAAAUAUCAUCUUUUUAUAAAAAAAAUAUUUUUCAUAUUUAUUAUAAAGUGUAAACAAUAUGAAAAAAUUAAUAAUUUUACUAAAUUAUUUGAUUGAAUAUUAAAAUAUUUCCCAACAUCAGAAAUACAAAAUAAAAUAAAAUAUUUUAAGAGUAACACACAUAAUUAAAUAAAUUAUAUUAAAAAAUUAAAACACUAUAUUUUGAAACAAAUUUAUUUACUAAAGAAUAUAGAUAGAGUAACAUGAUUUGAUUAACAAACAAAACCAAGGCUAAAUCUCAUAUUUAAUUAACAAAAUUAUAGGGAUCAUUUACUUUAACUUGUAGUAUAAUUUUAAAAAAUUUAAUAAAUCUCCAUUUUAAAAAAAAAAAUUGUUUGAACUAAAUUGUGGCCAUGAAUGAUAGAUAGGGUGAUGCACAACAAUUUCAAAGGGAAGUAUUUAUUUUUUAUUUCUUUGUGCCGUUAUUUUCGGAUAAUUUAAUUGAUAGUUAUGCAUGAAUAUCAGAUCUAAUAGAAGAAUGCAUAUUUAAAUCCGUAAUAUUUCAUUUAAUUAUUUUUUAAAAAGCAAAUUCAAGUGAUUAAACUAUUUAAUAAAAGAAUUCAGCUAUUAAAUUAGUUGGAAAAAAAAGAUCCUCUUCAAUUCAAUCAUGUCUAAUUGGCUGUCAUAUCUUGCAGCUCACUUCUUUUCAACAAAAAAGUCAUUGCUUUUGCUUAAAGCAUGGUAUGAGUGGCUUAAUCCAACGAUUAAGUAGGAACAAGUUUGAAUGAAAGACAUCAUCACUAUUAUUAUUCUCUUUAAUUAAAUUAAAUCUUGCAUCAUUUCUAAACAAACAUCCAUUACCAACAGCACACUUUUGACCAUAUAUUUGUCUUUAAUCUCAUUGUUAAGAAGAAUCGUUUUUUAAUGUCUGCAAAAUAAUUAAAUAAAUCUGUCACUAUGAAUAAGUAAAAUUCAUAUUUAUUUUACCACUAUUAAUAUGUGGUUAACUUACCUGAUAAAACUUUAAAAAAUAAUUAACAGGACUUUGAUGUUAAGUACCAAACUCGAUAUUUCAUACAAAAUAUAUUUAUUUUCGUUUUUAAAUUCUUUACUACAUAAAAACAAUUAUGGAAUCGCAUAUAUCAAAAUUUAGAUACAAAAAUUAGAGAUUCUCCGCAAUAAAAUAAAUUUAAAAUCAGUCAUUUAAUUAUUUUGAUUUUGUUUAUCCUACACCAUAAAAGGACGGAAUUGGAAAAUAUUGUCAAUGAAGUAGAAUAUAAAAAAUGAUAAGUAAUUAAGUAUAUUGAGUUAAAAAUAAUGUUAUAUUUUGCAAAGGAACUAAAUAUAAAGAAAGUGAUUAAAAACAGUUUUUAUUAAAAUCAAUAUAUUUAAUAUAAUUAGAGGGGACUAUACUCUUAUUUGGGAUAGGCAAUAUUUAAUUGUGUCCCUAUAUAUCAAGAUGCUUUAAAAAGGUAUUGUAAUUAUUAAUUAAUAAAAAGAUCAAUUAAAUAAAGAAUAUUAUACUGUUCGUAAGUAAAAAGUUGUAAUAUUUAAGAAAGAGUUACAAUACUUGGUGAAAGGGUAUGUUUUAUCAAGGAUGACAAUACUUAGUAAAAAGUUGCAACACUUGAUGAGAUAACGAGUUUUAUCAAUGGUCGCAAUCUUGUGAAACAAUAUCUUUUAAUCUAUAAAUAAUCUGCUUCGGAUCCAGAAAAAUAUACUACUUUGAACUCUCAUAUUCCUUGUUUAAAUUUUAGAUUUCUUUCUUCCAUAUAUUUGAGUUUUCAUAUGUCUUGUGCAAAUUCAAAGUAGAUUAAAUUAUCAUGAGUAUUCUUGCGUGUAGUCUCUGAGAUAAAAUAGAGAGUACUUAAAAUACUAUUAUGAAAAUGAUUAUAUGCACAAUUCUAGCCUUGAUCCAUUUAACUUAAAAAUAACUUCUAACAGUCUAAUAAUAUAUCAAAUAAUGACAAUCGGGAUUUCCGUUAAUAUAUUAAAUAAUGGCAACUGAGGCUUCUGUUUCAAGCAUCAAAGUGAUGAACAAAGACCUUGUGAAGCUGGAUCAUUUUGAUGGGACAAACUUCACUCGCUGAAAAGAAAAGAUGAUCUUCCUCCUUAUUGCUUUGAAGAACUUCCAUGUACUGGAUCCUGAACUAGCACUCAUUGGAUGUAAGUGGGUCUUUAGAAGAAAGUAUCAUGGUGAUGGCACACUAAACACCUACAAAGCUAUAUUAGUAGCCAGUGAUUUUAGACAAAAGGAGGGUGUUGAUUACCUCAACACAUAUGAUAGCAAGGACGACGACAAUUAGAGUAUUAUUUGCAUUAGCUUCUUUGCAUAACCUUAUAGUUCGUUAAAUAGAUAUCAAAAUAGUAUUCCUAAGUGGAGAUAUCGAUGAGGAAAUUUACAUGAAGCAACUGGAAGGCUAUGUGUUUCCUGGUAAUGAAUAAAACGAGUAGAACAAUGCCUCAAACAUCUUAACCUCAAUUUAGAAGACGUUCUCGUCAGGUUCCACAGUUUCAACAUCAUUGCAUAUCCAAAAAGAAGCUUUUGAAAAACUGUUAAAGACACAUAUUAGUUGGUUUAGAUCUAAUGCAUGCCUUAAAUCACUUGGCAUAAAGGUUUUCAUCUUCUAAAAAGAAGGAAGACCUUACCUCCAUUGGUCACACUACCACAUCAGGAAUAAAUACCUCAAUCUAUUACAUGCCUUAGAAAGGUUUCCAUUUACUAUAAAGAAACAAGACCUUACUUCCAUUGGACUCACUACCACAUCAACAAUAAAUACCUCCGAGUGCAUUUACUCUAUUUUUUUCUCAAUUUCUUCAAUGUAAAACAUGGCAUAACAUUUGAGACAAUGAUCCCAUCCAUGAAAACUAUUCUCAACAUAUUACCAUUGAACAAAACCUUGAUAAGAAUGACUUCAAAUGUGUGACCAUUUCUCUAGUGGGCUUCUCAAAUAACACCCUCAAUUUCUUUAACUUAAGCUAAUGGAACCCACUUAGUGUCUUCAAUGAAUACAUCUCAUUGCAUCUCAUUUAUUUGGGCUUCUAUGCUUUAGAAUUCCCAAGAGGUUAAUCCCAUAACUUUUAUUUCAGUCAUGACGAUGUUAGAUUUAUCUCUAAGUCGGAUAUAUAAUAGGUAAUCCUCAUCAUAUUUCAUUUAAUAUCCCAAUUUGAGACAGCCUAACCCUAGUAACUUCUUUAAUAUUAUUAUAUUUUCACAAUUAACUUUCUCUUUAACUUUCAAGGGUGUUUUUUGUUAGCUAUAAGCUCUAGGUAUGUGAGACUUUGACCAAAUUCUUCCAUGGCUACUAUAUAAGCACAUUCAUCUACCUUUUACUCAUUUCUCAUCAGAAGUCAAGGACUUGCUCUUGUUAGAGUCAUCAAGUGGUACAUCUAAUCUUGGCCAAAGUGAACUCAUUGUCUAACACCUUUAUCACCUCAAGCGAUUAUAUCUUCUUUUUCCAUGGUCCUGGAUUUUUGUAAUGAGUUGUAGAAUGUGAUUAUUUUUUGUAUAGAUCGUCUUAUUUAUCACCUUCUCUUUUUUUUCUACUGAAGGUGGUUGCAUAAGGUGAAUUGGGCCUGGCAUUCUCACCCACUACCCAUUUCCAUGAAGGUGGUGGUUAAUCCUUCAUGUUAAAGUUCUUUCCUGACUACAUGUUAACACCAAGUGUAGCCGUCACGUGGUGAUUGAAAAUUUAUAAUGGUACUUGUUGUAGUAUUUCAUUAGCAUGAUAAAAAUUCUGUUGAAGUCUGAAAAUGAUAAAUUUGUUAUUGAAGUGUGAAAAUUUAAUCGUGAUUCGACUGAUAACUAUUUAUUUUUUCUUAAAUAAUAUUUCUUCCAUUCAGAAAAAAAAAAUGUAAAUAUAUAAUUAAAUAUAUUAUAAAUAAAAAGAUAAUAAUUAUUUUAACACUGCACUCCAUCUUUCACCUCUGGUUGAGAACAUAGAAGUCAACCUAUAAUAGGUUGAUCUUACCAAGGCGGUUAUCGGCAGAUUUCGAAUUCCUUUGAAAACCCCGUUCAUGCAUUCCACAAUGUUUGUUGUCAUGUGGCCCCAUCGCACCACCGUCAAAUGCCCUUGUCCACUGCUCUACUGGUAUGUUAUUUAUCCAUCUCCCUGCGUCUUUAUUAGACAGUCUAAUUUCAUCACGAUAAUAUUGAAAUGACGUGAGUAAAGCAUACCCGCUCACCGCCUUCUUGCGAAGAUUCUUAUCUUUGAUUGCACGCAUGAGUUUUAUGCAAUGGUCUGAUACAGUAGACAUGUGUAGAAGGAGGAUCAUGUCAUCCGUUGUCAUGGUUGUUGUAGGCACUCUCAAUGGCAGCAUGUCUAUCAGAAAUCAAACAGAGAUUGGCUUGUGGAGCCACAUGCGUUCUGAGAUGUCGAAGAAAGAAACCCCAUUCAUCAGCCGUUUCACCUUCAACAAGAGCAAAGGCAAUGGGAAAGAUAUUGUUGCUACCGUCUUGUGCAACCGCCAUGAGCAAAGUACCCUUGUAUUUUCCGUAUAACCAAGUGCCAUCAAUUUGAAUGAUAGGUUUGCAGAAUGCGAAACCUUUGAUGCACGGGUCAAAUGCCCAAAAGAGACGGUGAAAUAUUCUAUUACCUGUAGCACAGGUUCCGUCUGGCAUCAUUGCUGGCAAUGUCUCCAUAAUUUCCAUAGUUCCUGGGACAUAUGUUUUUAGUGCCCAUAAAAACCGUGGCAAUUCCUUGAAUGAAUCCUCCCAGAUGCCGAAAACCUGUUCAACAGCCUUUGUCCUCGCAAUCCAGGCUUUCUUGUAAGAUGGAGUAUAAUUAUAUGUUGUUCUGAUAUGGGAUAUAAUUAUACUCACCUUCACUGAUGGGUCUUUAUUUACCAAUGGCAGAAUUGUCUUGAACAUGAUUCAAAGUUGCGCCUAGUUUAGGUGAAUCUUGUUUCAACGUUAGUUGCAACUGCAACUGUGCGGUGGGUCUUUGAAGCGAUCUCCCAAGAUUCGUUUUUCUUCUGUAAGACGCAGCCAAACGAACUUACAAAGCAUGUUUACGAUCAUUCGAUAACAAUACCGUUCUAGAAAUCAGGUGCAUUUCACUGUAAAGUCAGCAAUUGUUAUGUGGAAUUUUUUUGAUUGCCAGAACACAUUCUUCUUUUGGUACGAAACAUGUCUUCCACACCUUUAUUCACCUUCUGAUCUCGGGAAUACGAUUAUAGAAAACAUGUUGGAUGUUUAUCGUCGUGAAGAUCCAUAUUUGUCAUAUGUUAAGGCGGAUUGUAGACAUGACUAGGAGGUAUUGUGUGUGGUUGAUUCAUCAUCUUCAUCGUCGUUGUUCAGCAUGUGAUCAACCUGUAUCUUCGGUCUCCUCUUCUUCUUCAUCAACAACGUCGACUUCUGCUUCUGCUUUUGGGUUUGAGUUCAUCUGACCAUUGUGCAUCAUCUUCACCAGCUUCAUCCAGAUCGGUUAGUUGAGACUGUUGAGAUGGUAUACAUGGUUGAAGAGUAAUGUACAACACGAUACGUUGCAGCCCUAAUGUUCAUGACUAACAAACAUGUAUUCAACAUCUUCAUUGUCUCGUACCUUAAGGGGGAAAUACUUGCAUUGACCAUUCUAAAAAAAUAUUGGAUUUUGAUAUGUGAUCUUUGACACAAUACCCGAUCCUAUAAAGGAUUGCAUUCUUUUUUUCAAAUGCAAGAAGGUUGCAUUUCUCUUGAUCGUGAUUCUAAUGGUAUCAGUGUUUCGAAAACAAAAACCAUGUAGCUCAGACUCGAAUGUUUCACCGUUGCAAUGAACGUUGACACUGUAUAAUGAUGAAGAUGACAUUGUGCAGAUGAAAACUAUUUUCUUACUGCAGAUGAAUGUGAGUGAAGUGUCUUGGAUGUUGAUAGUAAGCCACUUAAAUAGAUGGUAUCAGUGUCUCACAUGCUAGCUAGUUCUGAGAUGAUGUGUUGGACAUGCAAGUUAGUCUGAGAUGAUGUGUCGGACAUGCAAGCUAGACUGAGAUGAUGUGUCAGUCAUGCAAGAUAGUCUGAGAUGAUGUGUCAGCCAUGCAAGCUAUCAAGAAGUGAUUGUUCAGCAUGCAGGAGACAAGACAGCCACGUGUCGAACAUAUAAGAUAGUUAGAGAUGAUGUGUCAACCAUGCAAGCCAUCAACAAGUGACUUGUUCAGCAUGCAGGAGACAAGACAGCCACGUGUCAGACAUGCAGACACACACUCCAAAUGGAUUGGCGCCUCCAUUUAUUCCUUGUACAUGGUCGCCAAUUCAAGUGGAGACACCAUGCAUUCAGACCUCGAAACCAAGCAUUCAGACCUAGCAUUGCAUGCAUGUCCCUAUGGAGGCGCCAAUUUGAAUGGCGACCCCUCGUAAAGCUUGUACAUGGUCGCCAAUUCAUAUGGAGACACCAUGCAAGCACAAAUUUUCAUGCUCUCAUCCAUUUACCUAUAAAUACAUCCACUCCUUCAACACUUCUUCCACACCAUCACUCUUACUACUUCCUCUACAAUACUUCUUUUACAAUUUCAUCUUCAACAACAUCUUCUAGUUUCAUCCACACCAACCCCCCAACAAAAUGUCGUUACUCACAAUGGGCGAAGCACAUAGAGGAACGGUUGCAAACAUCGCAACAUAUGUAAGUUUUUUCUUUUGUUAACUAAAAUAGAAAGUAGAAGUGGUUGGGGUAAAAUAAAACUGUAUCCAACUUAGUCAAGUGUUUUAUUCUUUCUUUUAUAGGAUGUAUCAAGGUUUCGAACUCGGGUCCACGAAUAUGUCCAGAUGGACCCGAUGAUUCAACCUUAUGUUGAAGUCGCCGGUUUUGGUCAUAUUAGCAAGAUUAUGUCUUGGUUUAUAGAUAACAAGUUCAUUCUAGCCUUAUGUGAAAGAUGGAGGCCAGAGACACACACAUUUUGAUUCCCAACCGGUGAGUGUACCGUGGCGUUAGAAGACGUCAACAUGCUUUUAGGACUACCAAUUGAAGGCAAGGAUGUUAAUGGUAAGACCAACUAUGCAAAUUCAAUUUGCAUGGAGCUCUUAGACACUUAUUUGUUAGAUGAUAAUGCUAGAGGUCAAGGUAUACUACUCUCACGCCUAAAGUCAUAUUAUAAUAGUUUAUACUUAGAUGAGCAUUCUAUCGAAGAUGCUCGAAUAAUAAAAACUAGGUGUAACAUUAUGUUGUUAAUAGGAUCCUUUUUAUUUCCCGAAGGUAGUGGUUCUAGCAUGCAUAUUAUGUACUUACCUCUACUUAGACAUGUAGAUAGUUAUCCUUCAAUGUCAACCCCUAGACGAACAGAAGCCUAUCUCUAUAGCUCGUUGUGCAAAAACUCCCACAAAGACACAUCUACAUUUUCUGGAUGUGCUGUUUUGCUACAAGCAUGGGGUUGGUCAAGACUAUCGUCUCUAGCACCGGUUAAUAACAACCCUUUCACUUUUCCAUAUGCACAAAAGUAAGUUGUUUAAAUUGCUAUAUCUUUACUUAGUUCCUUAAAGUUUAUUACCUCAAACUAUUUUUUUUUAACUUUUUGGUGUAGAUGGUCGGCACAUGGUAUGAGUUACAACAGAUGUCCGAGACACUAUAUUACUCAGUAUCGCAACCUGUUGGAUCACCUUCGACCGACAGACGUAAGCAAAAUAACUUAAUUAUUUCGUUAUAUUUUGUUAACUUUUUCUACAUUAAUUAUAAUCCUAUCUUCUUUAACAUUUCAGUUCAUUUGGCGUCCAUACCUUAAUCUGGAUCGUGACCAUGAGGUCAACGCUGAAGACGCAGCCGUAUGGACAACAUGCACACCGAUAAUACGAUUCACAACUGUGGAGAUGCACAACACCGAUCGUGUGAAGCUGCAGUUCGGUAUGGUCCAGAAUAUCCCAGAUCCCACAGCUAGCCUAGGAGAAUGGCAUCUGCGUAAAGUGAACGACCAAUGGAACUUCAACCCUUGGCAAAACUUCGCAAGAUCAGAGUGUCGCAAGUGGAAGCACCGUCAUGACCAUGUCUUAACUGACACAGUCAUGCCAAAUGAGGUAAAACCAAGUCCUACUUAUAUGGCUUGGUACAGAUCGGUUGGUUUUCAAUUCAUCGCCGAAGAUAUGUACCUCUACGACCCAGCCAGGCAAGUUACACACAAGAAGGAUCAACAUCUAACCCCCAACAACAUUCUCAGCCCGGUUACUCACAACCCCCUAUCCGUCAAACUUUCCGUUCUACAAACACACAAACAUACAACCAAAACAUGUCAUUCACCCAACCCCAAUACCAAGAGCAUACCCCAUACCACCACCAACAAAUUGACCAUCAACCUGAGACCCAACGUCGCUUCACACCCACACCAUCACCCUACCAAAGUCGCGUUAGCUAAAACACCAACCGCCUCUCCUCCUACCGUAGCCAAGAAGCCCAAACAUCACAAAACCAAAACAUCCCACAACCCUAUCUCUACCAAACACCCCAACAACCUUUCCUCGACGCAUCAUUCACACCCAUGUCUCCCUUCAACCGUCUCGAUCGCCCAUCCAUGAGUCAACCACAUCCCAACUUCUCUGGCAUGGGUCAUGAGCUCAGCUACGGCGGUACACCAUCAUUGCAUACUGAAGACUAUGCUGAGUUGUCUGAAUACCUCAACGGACCUUCUACCCAACUUCUCUGGCAUGGGUCAUGAGCUCAGCUACGGCGGUACACCAUCAUUGCAUACUGAAGACUAUGCUGAGUUGUCUGAAUACCUCAACGGACCUUCUCUUGUAGUUGGUAGUGACGCUCCUGACCCCUCAGAUGAUCAAACACCGAUGCAGAAUCGUCAACGUGAGUUAGGACCAAGGGUUAGGGUAGCUAGAGGAUGUGGCACCGGAGGUCGGUUAGAUGAUCCCGAUCAUCACCAUUAGGUUUCUUUUGUGUAAACUCCAAACUUUAUUAAUAUCAAGUCGUAUUAUAUCAAAUUUAUCUUUAACUUAUACCAUAAAACACACAAAAAAUGUAUUUUAUGAGGAAUCUCCAAUUGAAGAUGACCCCACUUUUGAUGUGUUUGUCAAAUGAAGAUGAUCCCAAGAGCAAAAAUGUUCUUAAGGACCAUAUGAACAAGACCAUAUGAACAACUUUCAUGUUCAUAAAAAUUUGAUUUGAAGCUUUGAAGGUCAUCAUCAAUUUCAAAACAUUAUAGGUCAUUUUGACUGAAACCCUAAUUUUAGGUCAACUUCCCAAGAACAUAACUCACUCAUUUUUCGUGAUUUUGAGAUGGAAUCAAAUGCAUUGGAAAGUUUAAGAUGUCUACUUCAUUUGUUAUGUUGAGAAAAUUUUCAUAAUCCUAAAAGAAACACAUGUGAUAAUAGAAAACAUUAUAGGUCACUUUGGAACUUCAAGUACAUUGAAAUGUGAAAAAGUCCAACUUCAAGUGCCCAUAACUUUCUCAUCAAAAAUUCAAAUGAUGCAAAAUUUAAAUCCAAAUUUAUUGUCUUGAAAAGAUCUACAACUUUUAUGUUGAAGGUUUUGUCAUUUGAGGCUUUUAGAAGGAAUCUCCAAUUGAAUUAGCGACUCCUCUUAAAACCUACACAUAGGCACCAAUUGGAUUGGCUAGGGCACCUGCCCUAGUCAAUCCAAUUGGCGCCUCCAUUCAAGUUUUAAGAGAAACCGCCAAUUCAAUUGGAGACUCCUCCUAAAAAUGGGGUAUUUUGGAAAAAAAAUUAAAACUUGAGGUAUUUUGGAAAUUUUCUUUAAAAAGUGGGUUAUUUGGAUAAAAAAAACCGUUUAUGCCACCGUUGAUAUGAGAUUAGGGAUAGAAUCAUGUUAUUUAUAAACAAAUUAAGGAAAGAGUUAUGCUAUUUUUACAGCAUUUUACUUCGGCAUAUUUAAAUUUCACCGUAUAUGUACAAUUAUUUUAGUGUUGCACAAACAAAAAAUCAUUAAAAAAUGAUGAGUAGAUAUUUAUUAUAUAAUGUUCGGUGUAGGUGUGUAAUUCUUAAGGAAAAGGGAAGGGAAUUAUCACUAGGUGAAGUUGAGGCUAUUUUACCCCCUUCCAGUACCAGUAAAGAUCCAGAAUCGAAAGGGUCCAAUCUUUUUCCCAUUCUAGUCAUGAAAGAAUUUGAUAUCAGGUUUACCUAUUUCCUAGAAAACUUGUCAGGAUUCAGUUUUAAUCAAGGCAUGAACACUAACCUAACGGAUCCUUGUCAAGUAUCAAAAGGCUUCUAAAGCUUCAGCAUAAUUUGAGAACAUACGCAACAACUAUGCUCCGGUACUGUAUAAUGUCAUAGAACACUACUCUGAUCAUGAAAGAAUAUAUGACAAGGAACUGCUUAGGAGAAUAUGUGAAACUUGUAAGGGCUUAAGUUUUAUCUAUUAGUAAAUUUAUUAGACAAGGACAGACAAUAGAUUAUUUUAAAAAAUGUAUUACAUUACUGACGGGGUGUUAAAUUAUCGGCAAACAUGAAGUUUCCAGCAUAAACAUAACUACUUAAGCACACUAACAAAUUAAGAUUCUACAACAAACCAAAUAAAUUUUGAAACACAGAAAUCAUGUGGCAUGUUUUUUUAAACACUUAAAAUCAAAUGUUAAAGAAAUAUAACCAACCUGAUUAAAUUAAAUGGGAAUGAUAACUAAGUGCAAAACCAUCACAUCUUUAUCAAAAAUACCAAAUUAGUCUUAACUCCAACUCUCAAAAUAACUUAGAACAACAAAAACAUAAUAAAUUGGGAGAGGUAGAAAACCAAGUGCAAUAAAACACUUAGCACUUGAUCUCCUUCAAAGCAAAAGAAAAAUAGAGAAAAGUUGGGUCAGCAGCACCAUCCUUGUAGUAGGCAAAGACCAAGCUACCAUCAUCAUGCAUGCUCUCACCAACAAAGCUGCACAAAAAUGUAACAUUAUACACUAAAACAAAACAUCUAUUACUUAACAAUUUAAUGUUUGACCAUAAGAAAUAGUAGCAUAUUAAUUAAAAUUACUCAAAUUAAGUGUAUCCACUCUAAAGAGAAAGCCAGAUGAAAAGGAAAGAGUUUUUAAAAUAAAAUAAAAAUUGUCUAUUUGAUGAUGAUAAAUGCAAGAAAACCAUAUUCCAGCCUCAAAAUUAACAAAUAUUAUGCAACAAACAAGGAAACUAUAUAAAAAACAUUGAAUACUUCUUGAAUGUACAUAAUAGCGAGUCACUUACAACUGAAGGUCCUUGAGCUUGCCAAGGAGGUAUUUGGUUGCUCCCUCAAUAUUCUUUUUGAAGUGCUCUUGUUUCUCUGCUUCUAGUUUGGGAGUCAACAACUUAAUAUACUUCUUAACAAAGCCAAGAAACUGCUUCUUGUCAAAAGGAGGUUGUUCCUACAAAAGUUCACACACAAAAUAAUUAUGCUCUGAAAUCAAGCUAUAAGAUAAGAGCUCAAAAAUUAGCUUUAAAAAAUGUAUUCUCCAAGAUAAAGAGAUAUUCAUGGUUGCCCUAACCUGAAGUCUGAAUACAUCAACAAUGUCAACCACCUUAACAGCAGUGUCAUCAACACCCUCAUCUUCUCCACCUUCGGCAGAAGGGUUUGCACCGAUGUUCACAUCAACUGCUCCCUUGACAACCCACUGCACACCAAGAGGAAAUAAUUUUUAACUUUCAUCCUCAAGCGUAACAAAACAAUUUCACAAAAAACAUGUUUUGAUAAUUGCAUAUUUAAACCUAAAUAAUUGACCAAUAUUCAACUACAAUUCCCUUUGAAAGUAUAAGAAAAUUCACAAAAACAUGUUUUAAUAAUUGCACAUGAAAUGAUUGGGACAAUAUUAACUGACCUUCCCCUCAACUUCCCACAACAUUCCAUUCUCAAUUUCCUUGUAUGGAUAAGAGUCUGACAAAAGCUCAUCACCUACAAAACAUGACAAAAGCGUUGAACUAUUACAUAUUUCAAACAAAAGCAUGCUACUAAAAACCCUUCUAUUAGAGCUGAAGCAAUUCAGGACCAUUGAUUUAAAACAAAAUAUAUAGAAAAAUAUAAAACAAAAUAGAAGAAACAAUAACCAAUAGAACGGGGCACAGACGACACAUAACCCUAAGCAAAAAGAUGCUACACGCAGAAAAAUUCUCACUUCUUGAGUACAAAAGCAUAGCAGAUUGAGAUUAAUUUAUCUUUAUAACAAUGAAAAAAUCUGGCUUUAUUUGUUUUUACAGAAACUCUAGCUUUUAAUAACAAACACGAAUAAUCAGAAUAUGCAUCUCAGUGCAACACAAUUGAAUCAAUUGAAAUUCAAACAAAUCACAAAAUCAAAGCAAAAAACUACAGAUCCAAAGAUUCCCAUCAAAAUUUCAAUACAACUGUCAUAAUCGCAUGCGUAAUUCAUAUAGAUCUAUAAGAGAAUAAUAGAAAGAAAAAAACGGAAAUUUAAGAAAAUAAUCAUGGAUCUGAGAGUAGUUACCUGUAAGGAGAUCCUGGUAAACCAACAUGAUUGAAAAUUCUUUCUCUGAUCGCUCCUGGUUACAGAUUUAUUGGUGUGAGAAUGAGAUUCGGAGCGAUCUG